GCUUAAUAUCAAAUAUCAUAACGGACAGCGAUGUCGGAUAACAGAUUCAAUAGAUUUUUAUAAUGGGGUUCUUUCAUCUGUGAUUGAGAUUUAUUCAAGAUUGUACCACACAAAAAAACGGAUCUCUUAAUGUAACGAGACGGUUUGAAACGUGAAAUAUCGAGUUAUUGUAAAUAAUGAAUUAUUCUCUGUGUGCUAUGAAUUAGUUUGUUAGUCAACUCACUAAAUUUUAUGUGUGUGUGAAACUUGCUUGUAAGGAUUUCGUUUAUUGAAAUGAUGAAGUUUGUAUUCCAAGCAUUAUUGGCUGUCAUUGUGAUAGUGUGUUUUGUUGAGAGUUCUCCGCCUAAACAUAAGAUCCAAGGGGAUUGCCUCAAAAGCGACUCCACAUCAAAAAUAUGCUACGCCUGUGCCCGGUUAUAUGAUAGUAUUUAUUAUUACGAUCAAUGCUGCCUUGGUAUCGUAGCCUUUCGUUCAUUCUGCGAGGAAAUCUACGUUCCACCAAAACGAGGAAGCAACUAUUGAAGGGCUAACGGACUGACCUAUGGCUUCUGGAUCUGGUUUUUCAGCUAAAACAAGUACCCCCUGGACACCAUGAACUUUGAACCGUGCUUAUAAAAGGACACCAUGAACUUUGAACUGAUCUUAAAAGGACAACAUGAACUUUGAACUGUGAUUUUAAAAGAUUGUGUUAAUACAGGGUUAUGAAUCUACAUAUAUAUAUAUAUAUAUAUAUAUAUAUAUAUAUAUAUAGUAACCAUGGUGAUGCCAUAAUACCAUUCCAACAAAGGACAAAUAGAUGAUAAAAACGUUACGUCAAAUAACACAACAGAAGUUCAGACUUCCGUUCAUGACGUACAUUCCGGCGCUUGAUAUCCGACAAAUUGUCUGCCUUGAGUCUGAUUAGUUUUGGAUGAUUGAUGUAGCAUUUGGUGUAGGUGUUGAUUAUACUUUUGUUUUCGUUUUACUUUUUUGUAUGAAUACCCCUGGUGUCAAUCAUACGCACUGCCUGUCUGUUAACUUAAUGUGUAUAUUGGAAAGACUUGACAAUUAUUCUGUGUUAGUGAUAGACCAGAUCAACUAAAAAUGGCUUCCUAGAUUCUGUUUGUGGUUUAUUACAGGAGGGAGGGAGGCGUUUAUAAGGGCAGGGCAAAACUAGGGCGUAUGUAUAAAGGGAGGGAAAGCUCUCUUAUUAUUGAACUCCUAGCAAGGGACAGCGUUGUGGCUUGUUAUUUUGAUUUUUAACGUUUUAAAAUAGUGCAAUUAUUUGAAAUCCGUGAAAUCAUUGUUGUUAAUAUGAUGGUGACGAUGAUGAUGAUGAAGAUGAUGAUGAUGAUUCAUCAUGUUAUUAUUUCGAGCUGUUAUUUAUUUGUAAAUAUAAAUGAUUAAUUUAUUCUUUAUUUGAGAGAUAUAUGUAUUGGGAUAAAUAGAUUAAAUACUACUACCUACA